rnacentral:lncRNA from 1 species
CGGCGUCGUCUGUCAUCGUUAACUUUUACAAAAAUCUUCUCCUCUGAAACUACUGGGCCAAAUUUAACCAAACUUGGCCACAAUCAUCAUUGGGGUAUCUAGUUUCAAAAAUGUGUGGCGUGACCCGACCAACCAACCAAGAUGGCCGCCAUGGCUAAAAAUAGAACAUAGGGGUAAAAUGCAGUUUUUGGCUUAUAACUC